GAUGAACGCUGGCGGCGUGCCUAAUACAUGCAAGUCGAGCGAACAGAUGAGGAGCUUGCUCCUUUGCCGUUAGCGGGGGACGGGCGAGUAACACGUGGAUAACCUACCUAUAAGACUGGGAUAACAUCGGGAAACAGGAGCUAAUACUGGCUAAUAUAUUGAACGGCAUGGAUCAAUAGUGAAUGACGGUUUUGCUGUCUCUAAUAGAUGGAUCCGCGCCGGCUUGGCUGUUUGGUAAGGUAACGGCUAACCAAGGCAACGAUGCGUACCCGACCGGAGGGGUGAAUCGGCCACCCUGAACCGGGGCCAGGUUCCGACCUCCUACGGGGGGCAGCGGUGGGGAAUCUGGCGCAAUGGGCGAAACCCGGUCGGAGCAACGCCGCGUGGGGAAGGAGGGUCUCCGGUUCGUAAACCUCUUUUAUGAGGAAAAAACAAAGGUGUAUGUAACUAUGCUCGUCUUGACGUUACCAAAGCAGAAGGCCCCGGCUACCUCGUU
rnacentral:rRNA from 1 species